rnacentral:rRNA from 1 species
GGAUAACGUGCCCUUAAGAGGAGGAUAAUCUCGGGAAAUUGAGGAUAAUACUCCAUAGAUCAUGGGACCUAGAAUGGCCCAUGGUUCAAAGUUCCGGCGCUUAAGGAUCGGUCUGCGGCCUAUCAGGUAGUAGUGGGUGUAACGUACCUACUAGCCUAUGACGGGUAUGGGCCUUGAGAGAGGGAGCCCAGAGUUGGAUUCUGAGACACGAAUCCAGGCCCUACGGGGCGCAGCAGUCGCGAAAACUUCACAAUGGGGGCAACCCCGAUGAGGGAAUUCCUAGUGCUAGCACAUUUGUGUUAGCUUUUCUUUAGCUUAGAAAACUAGAGGAAUAAGGGCUGGGUAAGACGGGUGCCAGCCGCCGCGGUAAUACCUGCAGCCCAAGUGGUGGUCGAUUUUAUUGAGUCUAAAACGUUCGUAGCCGGUUCGGUAAAUCUUUGGGUAAAUCGGGGGGCUUAACCUUCCGACUUCCGAGGAGACUGCCGAACUUGGGACCGGGAGAGGCUAGAGGUACUUCUGGGGUAGGGGUAAAAUCCUGUAAUCCUAGAAGGACCACCGGUGGCGAAGGCGUCUAGCUAGAACGGAUCCGACGGUGAGGGACGAAGCCCUGGGUCGCAAACGGGAUUAGAUACCCCGGUAGUCCAGGGUGUAAACGCUGCAGACUUGGUGUUGGAGGCCCUUUGGGGGCAUUCAGUGCCGGAGAGAAGUUGUUAAGUCUGCUACUUGGGGAGUACGUCCGCAAGGAUGAAACU